UAGGGAAUCUUCGGCAAUGGGGGGAACCCUGACCGAGCAACGCCGCGUGAGUGAAGAAGGUUUUCGGAUCGUAAAGCUCUGUUGUUAAGGAAGAACGAGUGUGAGAAUGGAAAGUUCAUACUGUGACGGUACUUAACCAGAAAGGGACGGCUAACUACGUGCCAGCAGCCGCGGUAAUACGUAGGUCCCGAGCGUUGUCCGGAUUUAUUGGGCGUAAAGCGAGCGCAGGCGGUUAGAAAAGUCUGAAGUGAAAGGCAGUGGCUCAACCAUUGUAGGCUUUGGAAACUGGUUGACUUGAGUGCAGAAGAGGAGAGUGGAAUUCCAUGUGUAGCGGUGAAAUGCGUAGAUAUAUGGAGGAACACCAGUGGCGAAGGCGACUCUCUGGUCUGUAACUGACGCUGAGGCUCGAAAGCGUGGGUAGCAAACAGG
rnacentral:rRNA from 1 species